GAUGAACGCUGGCGGCGUGCUUAACACAUGCAAGUCGAACGGAAAGGCUCCUGCUUGCAGGGGUACUCGAGGGGCGAACGGGUGAGUAACACGUGGGUGAUCUGCCCUGCACUUCGGGAUAAGCCUGGGAAACUGGUUCUAAUACCGGAUAGGACGAUGGUUUGGAUGCCAUUGUGGAAAGUUUUUCGGUGUGGGAUGAGCUCGCGGCCUGUCAGCUUGUUGGUGGGGUAAUGGCCUACCAAGGCGUCGACGGGUAGCCGGCCUGAGAGGGUGCACGGCCAAGUUGGGCUUGGGAUGAGGCCCAGCCCCGUCCGGGAGGGAGCAGUGCAGAGUAUUGCCCAAUGGGAGGAAGCAUGAUGCGGCGACGCCGCGUGGGGGAUAACAGCCUUCGGGUUGUAAUCUACUUUCGUUAGGGACGAAGCGCAAGUGACGGUACCUGGAGAAGAAGCCCCGGCUAACUACGUG
rnacentral:rRNA from 1 species